rnacentral:rRNA from 1 species
UACGUAGGUGGCGAGCGUUGUCCGGAAUCACUGGGCGUAAAGGGCGCGUAGGCGGUUAAUUAAGUCGGGUGUGUAAACCGCAGGCUUAACCUGAGGAUUGCACCUGAUACUGGAUAACUUGAGUGCAGGAGAGGGCAGUGGAAUUCCUAGUGUAGCGGUGAAAUGCGUAGAUAUUAGGAGGAACACCAGUGGCGAAGGCGGCUGCCUGGACUGCAACUGACGCUGAGGCGCGAAAGCGUGGGGAGCAAACAGGAUUAGAUA